rfam:Papilio xuthus contig17286, whole genome shotgun sequence.
UCACUCUGGUUUCCCUUCAAAACGUAUAAAUCUUUCGCCUUUUACUAAAGAUUUCCGUGGAGGGGAACACUCAAAUGAGUCUUUAAUAUUUUUGUAUAACUCUGCUUCGGCGGAGUA